UAUUGCACAAUGGGGGAACCCCUGAUGCAGCGACGCCGCGUGAGUGAAGAAGUCUUUCGGUAUGUAAAGCUCUAUCAGCAGGAACGAGACAAGACGGUACCUGACUAAGAAGCCCCGGCUAACUACGUGCCCGCAGCCGCGGUAAUACGUAGGGGGCAAGCGUUAUCCGGAUUUACUGGGUGUAAAGGGAGCGUAGACGGCAGCACAAGUCUGGAGUGAAAUGCCGGGGCUUAACCCCGGAACUGCUUUGGAAACUGUGCAGCUAGAGUGCAGGAGAGGUAAGUGGAAUUCCUAGUGUAGCGGUGAAAUGCGUAGAUAUUAGGAGGAACACCAGUGGCGAAGGCGGCUUACUGGACUGUAACUGACGUUGAGGCUCGAAAGCGUGGGGAGCAAACAGG
rnacentral:rRNA from 1 species